GGGGAUGACGAGCUUUUGCUUUGCUGAAGAGUGAUGAGCACGCCCUUCCCCGACCC
rnacentral:snoRNA from 1 species